rnacentral:lncRNA from 1 species
AAAAUAUAUUGGUCUCUUAGCUUUUUUGUAAUUAAAUCUGGAUGUACCUCAAAAGAAUCUUAAGACUGUGGUGAUAAGAUGCUUCCCUC